CAUCGAGGUCCAGAGUUCCCUCAGAGACAAUACUGACACUAGAGACGCUAGAAUCAUGCACAUGGUCAUGAUGGGAUUUACAUUCCUGAUGAUGAUGGCCCUCAUGAUCCUCUUGUGCAGCCUCAUGUUCACGCGUUGCACUACAUAAAUCGUCUAUAUGAACUUCAGAAUCAAUCCUUUCAAGAUCAUAUCCUCCUACUCCCAAGACAAAGUCCAUGUCUACAGAUCCAUAUUUGGCCAGCUUAAUUGGAGCCAUACCAUUAAUAUGCUGACAAAAGAAGCAAAAACACAUAAGUACAAAAAUGUGGUUGAACCAUCAUGAGAAUAGAUAAAUAAAUAAAAUAAUAAGUUAUAAAAGUGUUACUCACUAGCAAACAGUGCAAAUACAAGUGAAAAAAGCCUAUGUUAGAAGGUCAAACCACUCCAUUCUGUUCAUAGCUUCCUGUUAAAUUGCCAAGACUAGAGUUGUGUGAUUUGGGAUUAGAAUCUUAAUCUUAUUAAAAAGGUAGGGACUUUUAGAUUUUCAUUGUAACAGGUUUCAGCUAACAUAAAUAAAUGGGUGCUUCUGUUCAAGAAAUAAAAUAUAAGCAUUAAAAAAAAUAUAAUAAUAAUAAUAAAAGAGAAAGUAGGUAUUUUCAUUUCAUCUGAGUUAAUUGAUUUCAAAACUGCUUAUAAUAGUUCAAAGAUGUAAUUCUACAUUUUUUGGCAUCAAGCAAACAAAAUAAAUCAAUUGGAGUUGGUGAUGCUACCAUCCUUCAGCCAUAUGUAGAGAUAUGCUAAUCCAUUCUGCAUGCUACAUGCAACAAAAGAGGCAAAAUUUUAAUUUUGUCUCUUUCGCUGGUUUGGUUCAUUCAUAAUGCCAUAUGAUAGAAAAGUAAAGGACCAAAAGAAAAGAAACUUAAAAAUGCAUGUAGAGCACAACCCAUCUGACUUGAAGAAAACUUAAGAUACAACACCUUCAGAUAAAUGGUUAGCAAAAGGGCUUAGGUAGUUACUCUGUUUCUUCCUCUUUUCAUAUGUAACCCACCUCCCCUAAUAAAGUAGAAUUAUUGCCAUUGGCAAAUAGAUAAAAUGGUAUCGCUUCUCUGUUUGUAUCAGGUUCAAGGCAACUAAGUAGCUUUAGAUCAUCAUAAUAGGGUAACUCUUCAUUUUAUCUAAUGGUGACACCUUCUUUAAAAUGAGUUGUGAUAAACCAUAGAGAUAUCCUUUACAAAGUAUUGUCAUUCUCUCAUGUUGGCAAGAAGGCAAUGACUAUUUGAGAAUCACAUAAGUUCCUGUUACUAAGCUGCUGCUUCUUACCACAACAGAGCAUGAAACAAAAGCAAGAAGAACUCUCAUCCGACAAGAAGACAAGGUAAAGACUUAUAUAUACUGGUCCCUAAUAAAUCAUCCUGCAAUCAAUAUCCUUUUUCCACUCUUUAUUCUCCCUUAUUUUCUUAAGAUUAAUGCAUGAAGAUGUGCAAGCAAAACCUUACCUUGAUUUGGUGUGUCAAACUCUGUAAUUCAGUCUCGGACACCAAAUCUAUCUUGUUCAGUAUAAUUCGGUCGGCAUAUGCAAUUUGUUCUACCGCCUCAUUCACCACAAAUCUGGGUUUAACUUCAUUCAAGUGUUGCAUGGCAUGUUUGGAAUCAACCAUGGUAACAACUCCAUCCAGUUUCACAUGACGUGAAACUAGUUCAUCAGAACAGAAUGUUUCUAUGACAGGGCCAGGCUUAGCGAGUCCCGUGGUUUCAAUAACAAUGUGAUCAAAUUUGUCCCUUUUUUUCUUGACCAACUCCAACAGCAUUUUAACCAGAUCUCCUCUCACAGUACAGCACAGGCAACCAUUGUUAACCAUAACUAUGUCGUCACUGGCAGAAGAAUGGCUAGCAACCAAUGAUCCAUCAAUAUCCACCUCACCAAACUCAUUCUCUAUGACUGCAAUCCGCUUGCCAUGUUGAGAUGUGAGAAUGUGAUUGAGAAGAGUGGUCUUCCCAGAGCCAAGAAACCCAGUUAUUACAGUGGCUGGAACGCGAUUAUCGAGGCUGAGAGCAGCGGCACCAGCUUCUUCAAGACCGUAAUCAGGAGCAGAGACCAUGCCCCUGGAAUUUUGAGGACAGGAAUUUCGGAAAUUGAAUUCUGGGGAAAUGAAGGAAUGCAUAUGUCUGAGGAAUUGAGAAACUGGGGAAGAUUUUUGGAGACUAGGCUGCAGAAGUUGGUGGAGACUCUUUGGUGAAGUUCUUGAGAUUAGGAACCUCACUGCCAUUUUUGUUGUCGGAGAACAAAUUCGGAAGGGAGCUUUUUAUUUAACCCUAGAGCUUUUGGAGGUAACUUAAGAAUUUUUUUAAAGUAACGAGCAGACUUAUUUCGGGAGGAAGAUUUUGUGGAAAGGGUUAGGGCUUCUAAGCUCGGGGAGGAGAACUUUCUUAUUUUUCUAGAAAACUUUCCUGUAGAAAAUGGAAAUUUCUAU
rnacentral:misc_RNA from 1 species